AGAGUUUGAUCAUGGCUCAGAUUGAACGCUGGCGGUAUGCUUAACACAUGCAAGUCGAACGGCAGCAAGUUAUGUAGCAAUACAUAAUGUUGGCGAGUGGCGGACGGGUGAGUAACGCGCAGGAAUCUGCCCUCAAGCGGGGGAUAACCCGGGGAAACUCGGGCUAAUACCGCAUAAUCUCGGAAGAGAAAAGCUAGGUAGUAAUAUCUGGCACUUGAGGAUGAGCCUGCGUCCGAUUAGCUAGUUGGUAGGGUAAAAGCCUACCAAGGCGAUGAUCGGUAGCUGGUCUGAGAGGAUGAUCAGCCACACUGGGACUGAGACACGGCCCAGACUCCUACGGGAGGCAGCAGUGGGGAAUAUUGGACAAUGGGGGCAACCCUGAUCCAGCAAUACCGCGUGUGUGAAGAAGGCCUUCGGGUUGUAAAGCACUUUAGUUGGGGAAGAAGGUAAGUUGUUUAAGAGAUGAUUUAUUUGACGGUACCCAAAGAAUAAGCACCGGCUAACUCUGUGCCAGCAGCCGCGGUAAUACAGAGGGUGCAAGCGUUAAUCGGAUUUACUGGGCGUAAAGGGCGCGUAGGCGGUUGAUUAAGUGAGAUGUGAAAGCCCCGGGCUUAACCUGGGAACUGCAUCUUAGACUGGACAACUGGAGUACUGUAGAGGGUAGUGGAAUUUCCGGUGUAGCGGUGAAAUGCGUAGAUAUCGGAAGGAACACCAGUGGCGAAGGCGGCUACCUGGACAGAUACUGACGCUGAGGCGCGAGAGCGUGGGGAGCAAACAGGAUUAGAUACCCUAGUAGUCC
rnacentral:rRNA from 1 species